rnacentral:rRNA from 1 species
CCUACGGGUGGCAGCAGUGGGGAAUAUUGGGCAAUGGGCGCAAGCCUGACCCAGCAACGCCGCGUGAAGGAAGAAGGCUUUCGGGUUGUAAACUUCUUUUCUGAGGGACGAAGAAAGUGACGGUACCUCAGGAAUAAGCCACGGCUAACUACGUGCCAGCAGCCGCGGUAAUACGUAGGUGGCAAGCGUUAUCCGGAUUUACUGGGUGUAAAGGGAGCGUAGACGGUUAUGUAAGUCUGGAGUGAAAGCCCGGGGCCCAACCCCGGGACUGCUUUGGAAACUGUGUAACUGGAGUACAGGAGGGGCAGGCGGAAUUCCUGGUGUAGCGGUGAAAUGCGUAGAUAUCAGGAGGAACACCGGCGGCGAAGGCGGCCUGCUGGACUGAAACUGACGUUGAGGCUCGAAAGCGUGGGGAGCAAACAGGAUUAGAUACCCGGGUAGUC